rnacentral:rRNA from 1 species
GAUUAACGCUAGCGGCAGGCAUAAUACACGCAAGUUGAACGGGAUUAGUUUAGCAAUAGACUAUGAGAGUGGCGCACGGGUGCGUAACACGUAUGCAACCUGCCCUUGACUGGAGAAUAGCCUCUCGAAAGAGAGAUUAAUGUUCCAUAACAUAAUGAUAGAGCAUUCUAUUAUUAUCAAAGCUCCGGCGGUCAAGGAUGGGCAUGCGGUUGAUUAGCUAGUUGGUGAGGUAACGGCUCACCAAGGCGACGAUCAAUAGGGGGUCUGAGAGGAUGUCCCCCCACACUGGUACUGAGACACGGACCAGACUCCUACGGGAGGCAGCAGUAGGGAAUAUUGGUCAAUGGAGGCAACUCUGAACCAGCCAUGCCGCGUGCAGGAAGACUGCCCUAUGGGUUGUAAACUGCUUUUGUACGGGAAGAAACCUUCGAAUGCGUUCGAAGUUGACGGUACCGUGAGAAUAAGGAUCGGCUAACUUCGUGCCAGCAGCCGCCGUAAAAC